rnacentral:rRNA from 1 species
GAUGAACGCUGGCGGCGUGCCUAAUACAUGCAAGUCGAACGCAUAGCGAAAGGUGCUUGCACCUUUCACGUGAGUGGCGAACGGGUGAGUAACACGUGGACAACCUGCCUCAAGGCUGGGGAUAACAUUUGGAAACAGAUGCUAAUACCGAAUAAAACUUAGUGUCGCAUGACACAAAGUUAAAAGGCGCUUCGGCGUCACCUAGAGAUGGAUCCGCGGUGCAUUAGUUAGUUGGUGGGGUAAAGGCCUACCAAGACAAUGAUGCAUAGCCGAGUUGAGAGACUGAUCGGCCACAUUGGGACUGGGACACGGCCCAAACUCCUACGGGAGGCUGCAGUAGGGAAUCUUCCACAAUGGGCGAAAGCCUGAUGGAGCAACGCCGCGUGUGUGAUGAAGGCUUUCGGGUCGUAAAGCACUGUUGUAUGGGAAGAACAGCUAGAAUAGGAAAUGAUUUUAGUUUGACGGUACCAUACCAGAAAGGGACGGCUAAAUACGUG